GAUUUGCUGGCGCUGUGCGGCAAUAUCUUGUUGCAGUGAAGGCCUGGUUAAAUAUGGUACGAUUUACUUGCUCAUAUGAAGCUGCAACAAGAAGACAAGGACACACAAUUAAACGCAGAAAGAGGUAAAUAAACGCUGUCCAGAAUCCCCUGACUAGGAACAUUUUUAAACGAUGGGCUUCUUUCAGCCGCGUUCCGGAACGCGGUUGCUAGGCGACGGGUUAGCCUAUCCUAGCGGCUCCAACCUGCACGUUUUACCUCGAAGCGCAGAUUUCUGUUUACAGGGAUCUACUGUAGCUUCACAUCCGAGGGGAAGAGAAACAAGCGGAACUAAUUGGUCCAUCCUCCCGACGCCUGGGCAGGAGACGGAAUUGUGCAAGUUCACUUGGCAGGCACUUCGCAGGCCGACAUCUGGAGAGCAUUACGUGUGCAACAGAGACGUGAAGCCAUGGGCUUUCAGCAAUUUGACACUACAAUUAAAAUGCCAAAUUAGAGUUUAAGCAUCCUGGUGUGAGCAACAUGAGGAGAAGGCCCCAAGUUCAGCUACAAAGAGAUGGAUGAAAACAGCGAAGAAGAUCGAAACGGCGUCUUAAUUAAACAUAACUUUAAAAUGCA